AACCUGCCCUUAAGUGGGGGAUAACAUUUGGAAACAGAUGCUAAUACCGCAUAAAUCCAAGAACCGCAUGGUUCUUGGCUGAAAGAUGGCGUAAGCUAUCGCUUUUGGAUGGACCCGCGGCGUAUUAGCUAGUUGGUGAGGUAACGGCUCACCAAGGCAAUGAUACGUAGCCGAACUGAGAGGUUGAUCGGCCACAUUGGGACUGAGACACGGCCCAAACUCCUACGGGAGGCAGCAGUAGGGAAUCUUCCACAAUGGACGCAAGUCUGAUGGAGCAACGCCGCGUGAGUGAAGAAGGCUUUCGGGUCGUAAAACUCUGUUGUUGGAGAAGAAUGGUCGGCAGAGUAACUGUUGUCGGCGUGACGGUAUCCAACCAGAAAGCCACGGCUAACUACGUGCCAGCAGCCGCGGUAAUACGUAGGUGGCAAGCGUUAUCCGGAUUUAUUGGGCGUAAAGCGAGCGCAGGCGGUUUUUUAAGUCUGAUGUGAAAGCCCUCGGCUUACCGAGGAAGUGCAUCGGAACUGGGAAACUUGAGUGCAGAAGAGGACAGUGGAACUCCAUGUGUAGCGGUGAAAUGCGUAGAUAUAUGGAAGACACCAGUGGCGAAGCGGCUGUCUGGUCUGUAACUGACGCUGAGGCUCGAAAGCAUGGGUAGCGAACAGGAUUAGAUACCCUGGUAGUCCAUGCCGUAACGAUGA
rnacentral:rRNA from 1 species